AACGAACGCUGGCGGCAGGCCUAACACAUGCAAGUCGAACGCCCUAGCAAUAGGGAGUGGCAGACGGGUGAGUAACACGUGGGAACCUUCCCUAUAGUACGGAAUAUACCAGGGAAACUUGGAGCAAUACCGUAUACGCCCGAGAGGGGAAAGAUUUAUCGCUAUAGGAUGGGCCCGCGUAGGAUUAGCUAGUUGGUGAGGUAAUGGCUCACCAAGGCGACGAUCCUUAGCUGGUUUGAGAGAACGACCAGCCACACUGGGACUGAGACACGGCCCAGACUCCUACGGGAGGCAGCAGUGGGGAAUAUUGGACAAUGGGCGAAAGCCUGAUCCAGCCAUGCCGCGUGAGUGAAGAAGGCCUUAGGGUUGUAAAGCUCUUUCAGCGGGAAGAUAAUGACGGUACCCGCAGAAGAAGCCCCGG
rnacentral:rRNA from 1 species